rnacentral:rRNA from 1 species
AGAUUGAACGCUGGCGGAAUGCCUUACACAUGCAAGUCGAACGGCAGCACGGGAGCAAUCCUGGUGGCGAGUGGCGAACGGGUGAGUAAUACAUCGGAACGUGCCCAAUCGUGGGGGAUAACGUAGCGAAAGCUACGCUAAUACCGCAUACGAUCUACGGAUGAAAGCAGGGGAUCGCAAGACCUUGCGACGAAUGGAGCGGCCGAUGGCAGUAUUAGGUAGUUGGUGGGGUAAGGCUACACCAAGCCUUCGAUCUGUAGCUGGUCUGAGACGGACACCAG